rnacentral:rRNA from 1 species
GACAGAGGGGGCAAGCGUUGCUCGGAAUUACUGGGCGUAAAGGGCGCGUAGGCGGCUUCUUAAGUCGGUGGUGAAAUCCUGGAGCUCAACUCCAGAACUGCCUUCGAUACUGGGAAGCUCGAGUCCGGGAGAGGUGAGUGGAACUGCGAGUGUAGAGGUGAAAUUCGUAGAUAUUCGCAAGAACACCAGUGGCGAAGGCGGCUCACUGGCCCGGUACUGACGCUGAGGUGCGAAAGCGUGGGGAGCAAACAGG